UACGGAGGGGGCAAGCGUUGUUCGGAAUUACUGGGCGUAAAGGGCUCGUAGGCGGCCACCUAAGUCAGACGUGAAAUCCCCAGGCUUAACCUGGGAACUGCGUCUGAUACUGGAUGGCUUGAAUUCGGGAGAGGGAUGCAGAAUUCCAGGUGUAGCGGUGAAAUGCGUAGAUAUCUGGAGGAAUACCGGUGGCGAAGGCGGCAUCCUGGACCGACAUUGACGCUGAGGAGCGAAAGCUAGGGGAGCAAACGGG
rnacentral:rRNA from 1 species